rnacentral:piRNA from 1 species
UGAUGAUGUAGUUCCUGUGUCUGGGUGUUUU